UCGUAUAAACCAACACGCAUUGAGAUGAAUAAUGGAAGUACAGUACUGAAGACAGCCAAGCUGAUUUAUCACAGCGAAUCAUUCACUGCUCCAGCCCCAGCUCUCAAUUAUGCCACUUUAAAUCACGCGCACACACACAGAAAGAGAGAGAGAGAGAUAAGCUAUUUGUGGCCAGAUCUAGUGAAAGAGAAAGAAAAAAAAAAUCCGGAUUGUUGAACAGAGGGAAGUGGGAAAUAAAAGACAAAAGGGAUCUUUCCCCCCAGCGUGGACAAGCGCUCUGUAAUGCAGCUUGGAAGAAAAUAAAGUCUGAACAAAACUAGACGGUGAGACAAGCACGUAGGAGAGGGUGAAACUGACGUUAACGCAGACUCUAUGGGAAUCUGGUCACUGGGAAGCAAAACCCCCUCUCCUUUGCUCGCUCUCACACAAUUUUUAAAAGAAACGCACUAGAACUGAGUUGCGACGAAACUUGGCUUUAAAGGUAUUCACACGCUGGACACGCUUCAGUAGAGGUUUCUUUGGAGAACGUAUGGUGGGGAAGAGAGACCAGGGAGGCAUCUGCACGUAAGAGAGGCGAAAGGCAGCCUUGCUUUAUAAUCUCUUAUGCCAACAAUUAAUUGCUAAACUUUCUUUAAAGGGUCUUGGGUUGUGGUCAAAAUGCACUAGAAGGCUCCCGAGAGACCUAUAUGUAUAUCUAUAGUAUCUUUCAGGGGACACACACACUCACCCUCUCUCUCUAUUUAUAUAUGUAUUAUGGCUCCCAAUGAAUUCUACAGUAGAGACGGAUACUUGUCAAAUGUAUAUAUUUUGAGUCGGCAUUCAUAGAUGCAUUUAAAAUAGAGCGAGGUGCCUCUAUUAAGAGCUGUUGAGUCAUUCUGCAAAUCCUGCCAGCACGGUUUUGCACAACAUUUAUAUUAUGUCUGUUACUAUUCUUGUUUUAUUAACUGGCUGUAAAUCCCUGCAAUUAACACAAAGCCCUUCAGGUAACGUCCAGACGGUGAAUGGAAAUCGAUAAAAGUAAGGACAUUCGUAAUCAGCACUUCCGUCUUGUCACCUGCCCUCUGGUGACGAGGUAUUACAGUGAUCGGAGUCGGUGUGAAACGGAACACAGCACAGGAGCUACACUCCUAUCAACGUACGGCUGUGCAAACUACUACCCCGCACCACUCCGGAGGGACUGGAAAAGUGCUGCAUACUGACUCCUUAUCACAAUGCACAGGGCCUGAUCCUGAAGCCAAACUUCAGAGAAAUCAAAGGGAGUUUUACCGAAGUAGACAGCAAGAUGAGACCAAACUGCCACCUGAACUUUCACUGACUUCACUGGGAGCAGUCCCUCUCGUUCAGUCAUCGUAGCAAAGAACAGAAGUAAAAGGCCCGCUCGAGCUCCCAUUUAGGCUAAUGGCCACAAUCCCCGUUGCUUUCAAUCGACCGCUAUUCGGUAGGCACGUCAGUGGAGCUCCAUGUGAACGGGGUUGUAUCUUUGCUAGACUCUUUCCCCAAAGACAAUCGGGGGACAGAGACUUCAGCAGUAGCGCACACGGCUCUGGGCUGCGUAAAGAACCGAAAAACCGAAGUAAAGGCACGCAGGAAAACCACCUCUGCGGUUCCCCAGCGCUGGUGGCGAAGAGUCUUUGCGCCGAGCCUGGCAGUUCCCCACGGCUCGACUGAUCUGCAAAGGGGUCCCUGACCACCUGCUUGCCUUAGCAAGAGGCACCGCUGCUAACAAAUUGUCUUAUGAAACAUAUUGAGAACAGCUUCAUCCUGAGCUGGAAGGAGCGAUCCGUAGAGCGACUUGGUAAAACUCCCGCUGGCCGCAGACUUUCAAAGGGAGCGAGCCAGCGGAGAACAGUGCGGACGCUCCAGAUUUCUUUUUGGUACUGGGGAGAUGCACGGGGGUUGGAACCGAGUCAUGCUGUAACAGGUGCCAUGGGAGACGCAGACAUCCCACACUGUCCAUUCAUCUACCCCAUUCCCCCUCCCCCUACAAGUGGAGCUGAUUCCCCCUCUCCCUUUUCGUAUAUCUUGGUGCCCGCUACCCUCAUUCCCAAAAAGAAAACUUGUAAACGUUAUAUCCAGGCCCCGUCCACUGUUCACUUCAUCUGGGCAAUAUCACAUGCCCCUCUCCCCAGCUCCAUACAGGAAAUCUGGCUGGGGGAAUGAGCUUGCAGGCUAAUGUGUCUUUAGCAAGGAGGGGGUGACUUCAGUUAAUAUGUCUUGAAGUUAAAACUUUCUUCCUUAGUACACCUCCCCCCCCAGCCUUAGACCCUAAAGGCUGGGAUUUUUCUAUUUCCCAAAAUCAAGAGUGGUCACUGAAGUAUUUCUGUAUUAUUCGGAGUAGUUGGCUUGUGUGCAAGGCAUUUGAAUGUGCUCCCCUGAGUCAUCCCUUGACACGGAGUGAGACGGUCAGCGCGCCACCUAGAGGCAAUCCCGGGGUAUCACCUUUCGUAAGGCCUAUGCCUCAACAAAUGGGACGUGCUGCAAUGUGGUUCUUCCUCACAACGUGUUUCUAUGGAACACCUCCUCCCCCACCCUCGCAACUCCACUGCAGCAUAAUCUUAAAGAUUUUCACCUGCAUAUACAAACACCAAGUGGAAAAAUAGGUUUUGAUCCCAAGGAGCCGAGCUUAUCAGGCUUCUGUUUCAUUCACAUAAACAUUGCACAGGGGAAGGGCCUGGUCCAAGAGGCCAUGUAACACUACCUGGUACUUUGCGGAAUGAUGAAUGUGUAUUUUGGCUCCAGUAAGUAGGCAAGUCCCUCUUUGCACAGUCACACGGAAACGGCCCAACAGAAUGAAGUGGUUGAAAGAGAGGAGCCAGAAGAAAAAUCACCACAAACUUGCAGCUGAAACCAGACAACAUCCCUGCCCCAAAGCCACUGUUCCUAAAGUCCCAGUUUCAUCACCCCCUAGUGGUGAAUUUAGGAACAGCAGCCUCACAGCCUCAAGGGAGCUUGCGCUGUGAGCGCGUUGUGACUGCAGUUGUUGCUAGGCUCAAGAAUGAAGGGUUUGAUCGAAUUAUAACCGAAGCACUGAUUCUAGGUCAGGUAUCUUUAUUCAAGUGAUUCUUUAUGAUCUUCAAACCCAGGUGACCAAAAAAUACACCUAUUACAUCUCCUCUGCUUUAAGGAAACCACACAACCUGAACUUUUAUGUAUGGAAUAUAUAUGAAUGAAAAUAAAAUUAUACAAUGCUCCAGUCCUUCAAAGUAUUACCAUUUUUUUCAGCAUUCAGACAACCACACCAAUAUGCAUUAUUAUGUAUUUGUACCUGCAUAUAUUCCCUUUGCGUUGUUGUAAUCUUACAGAAGUGCAACUUAACAACAAAUGCUUCAAAUUGUCUAAACAAGACCUCUUAUUU